UACGGAAGGCAGCAGGGGGGAAUAUUGCACAAUGGGCGAAAGCCUGAUGCAGCUAUGCCGCGUGUAUGAAGAAGGCCUUCGGGUUGUAAAGUACUUUCAGUCGUGAGGAAGGUGUUAAGGUUAAUAACCUUAGCAAUUGACGUUAGCGACAGAAGAAGCACCGGCUAACUCCGUGCCAGCAGCCGCGGUAAUACGGAGGGUGCGAGCGUUAAUCGGAAUUACUGGGCGUAAAGGGCACGCAGGCGGUUAAUUAAGUUGGAUGUGAAAUCCCCGGGCUUAACCUGGGAAUGGCAUUCAAGACUGGUUAGCUAGAGUCUUGUAGAGGGGGGUAGAAUUCCAUGUGUAGCGGUGAAAUGCGUAGAGAUGUGGAGGAAUACCGGUGGCGAAGGCGGCCCCUGGACAAAGACUGACGCUCAUGUGCGAAAGCGUGGGGAGCAAACAGGGAUUAGAUACC
rnacentral:rRNA from 1 species